rnacentral:rRNA from 1 species
CCUACGUGAGGCAGCAGUGAGGAAUAUUGGUCAAUGGUCGGGAGACUGAACCAGCCAAGCCGCGUGAGGGAUGAAGGUACAGAGUAUCGUAAACCUCUUUUGUCAGGGAACAAAGGCGGGGACGCGUCCCCGGAUGAGUGUACCUGAAGAAAAAGCAUCGGCUAACUCCGUGCCAGCAGCAGCGGUAAUACGGAGGAUGCGAGCGUUAUCGGGGUUUAUUGGGUUUAAGGGGUGCGCAGGCGGUCUGUUAAGUCAGCGGUCAAAGCACGGGGCUCAACCCCGGACCGCCGUUGAAACUGGCAGUCUCAAGUUGGAGAGAAGUAUGCGGAAUGCGCGGUGUAGCGGUGAAAUGCAUAGAUACCGCGCAGAACUCCAAUUGCGGAGGCAGCAUGCCGGCUCCACACUGACGCUGAGGCACGAAAGCGUGGGUAUCGAACAGGAUUAGAUACCCUAGUAGUC